UAGGGCUAGCCUCAAGUGAUGAUUAUUGGAGGUAGAGCACUGUUUGGACGAGGGGCCCCUCUCGGGUUACCGAAUUCAGACAAACUCCGAAUGCCAAUUAAUUUAACUUGGGAGUCAGAACAUGGGUGAUAAGGUCCGUGUUCGAAAGGGAAACAGCCCAGACCACCAGCUAAGGUCCCAAAAUAUAUGUUAAGUGGAAAAGGAUGUGGCGUUGCCCAGACAACUAGGAUGUUGGCUUAGAAGCAGCCAUCAUUUAAAGAGUGCGUAAUAGCUCACUAGUCGAGUGACACUGCGCCGAAAAUGUACCGGGGCUAAACAUAUUACCGAAGCUGUGGAUUGUCCUUUGGACAAUGGUAGGAGAGCGUUCUAAGGGCGUCGAAGCAUGAUCGCAAGGACAUGUGGAGCGCUUAGAAGUGAGAAUGCCGGUGUGAGUAGCGAAAGACGGGUGAGAAUCCCGUCCACCGAUUGACUAAGGUUUCCAGAGGAAGGCUCGUCCGCUCUGGGUUAGUCGGGUCCUAAGCUGAGGCCGACAGGCGUAGGCGAUGGAUAACAGGUUGAUAUUCCUGUACCACCUAGUAUCGUUUUAAUCGAUGGG
rnacentral:rRNA from 1 species